CCUUGACAUGUACGGAACCCUGCAGAGAUGUGGGGGUGCUUGAAAGAGAGCCGUAACACAGGUGCUGCAUGGCUGUCGUCAGCUCGUGUCGUGAGAUGUUGGGUUAAGUCCCGCAACGAGCGCAACCCUUGUCCCCAGUUGCUACGCAAGGGCACUCUAGGGAGACUGCCGGUGACAAACCGGAGGAAGGUGGGGAUGACGUCAAGUCCUCAUGGCCCUUAUGGGUAGGGCUUCACACGUCAUACAAUGGCCGGUACAGAGGGUUGCCAAAGCGCGAGCUGGAGCCAAUCCCCAUAAAAGCCGGUCGUAGUCCGGAUUGCAGUCUGCAACUCGACUGCAUGAAGUCGGAGUCGCUAGUAAUCGCGGAUCAGCAUGUCGCGGUGAAUACGUUCCCGGGUCUUGUACACACCG
rnacentral:rRNA from 1 species